rnacentral:rRNA from 1 species
UAGGGAAUCUUCCACAAUGGGCGCAAGCCUGAUGGAGCAACACCGCGUGAGUGAAGAAGGGUUUCGGCUCGUAAAGCUCUGUUGUUAAAGAAGAACACGUAUGAGAGUAACUGUUCAUACGUUGACGGUAUUUAACCAGAAAGUCACGGCUAACUACGUCCCAG